rnacentral:rRNA from 1 species
AUUGAACGCUGGCGGCAGGCCUAACACAUGCAAGUCGAGCGGUAGCACAGAGAGCUUGCUCUCGGGUGACGAGCGGCGGACGGGUGAGUAAUGUCUGGGAAACUGCCUGAUGGAGGGGGAUAACUACUGGAAACGGUAGCUAAUACCGCAUAACGUCGCAAGACCAAAGAGGGGGACCUUCGGGCCUCUCGCCAUCAGAUGAGCCCAGAUGGGAUUAGCUAGUAGGAGGGGUAACGGCCCACCUAGGCGACGACCCAUAGCUGGUCUGAGCGGAUGACCAGCCACACUGGAACUGAGACACGGUCCAGACUCCUACGGGAGGCAGCAGUGGGGAAUAUUGCACAACGGGCGCAAGCCUGAUGCAGCCAUGCCGCGUGUAUGAAGAAGGCCUUCGGGUUGUAAAGUACUUUCAGCGGGGAGGAAGGCGAUAAGGUUAAUAACCUUGUCGAUUGACGUUACCCGCAGAAGAAGCACCGGCUAACUCCGUGCCAGCAGCCGCCGUAA